GUAUGGUUAUAUAUUUCCACUAACUUACCUGAAAAAAAGCUGUUUGAGACUGUUCAGAAAAUAUUAUAGUUCGUAACAGUGAUGCCUAAGAGGUAGGCUUCAAAAAAGUGAAAAACAUAGAUGUAAGCAGCAUAAACACAGCUGCUUAUUAAAGGUCAAAAAAGCAAAUAUCCCUUAAACGGUUAAAAAAAAAUAAAAAUAAAAUCUUAUGUUCAUAUACACAUUACAACCAGAAUACAUACACAGAAUGCUCUGUAGAACGAGGGACGUUGAUUACUUGUCCAUGUCACGAUGCAUGCUGUUAAUAUUGAGUGUGUGCACAAACCUUUAAUGCCAGACUUCACAGAUCUCACUGCGGUCAGGAACAAAGCCAAAGCUGUAAAUGUAACACCCGAUUUUCAGGAGGGAUGGGAAUGUGGAAAAGGGUUUGGGAAAUUCUCCUACGAGGAUGCCUUUGAAUCUCUCCAGAGAACAUUUUCUAUAGCCUCCAGGCACUGGGAUGUGGCACAAGGGCAAUUCCUUCAUCUCCAGGUCAAUCCAGUGCAGCCAAGGCUGCUAAGCCCAUCCCUUUCCUUCAGACAUACAUGGGAGGAAACUCCCCCUUCUGCCACUGGACUAUACAAGAGAGGAGAGGGAAAGGGAAGAAAGAAAAAAAAAAAAAAAAAAAAAAAAAAAGCACCGUCUUCUAUCCACCAUUUUAGAGAGAGAAAAGGAAUUCAUCAGCUGCUCUCCUAUCUGACAUCCAAAUGGAAAAGGGCAAGAGACCAGGCUGUUUCCUUGCUGCAUUAGACAUGAGAGGAAGCAGGAUAGGAAGAGGGCAGGAAGCAGCCAACAAAAGACAGGCAUGGCUGCUUUCCCCGCUGCAGCAUGAAGAGAGGCUGGACAUGGAACGUCAUACAAACCUGAACAGAUGACAAGAAAACACUGCUAGCUGCCAACUACCUUCUCUCUCUUUAUUUAUCACGAUUGGUGCUUGUUUCUUGUCAGGAAGGCUCAAGGCACCAUCCUAGAACUGAUUGGCAUGUUGGGAGGACGUAAACUGAAAUACAGGCCCGACAGACAGACUGGCAUUUUUGGGGCUCAACAGAGGAAACAGACACAGGGCUACUCUUCCUGGUUAAGGAAAGAGCAUUGGUCCACAGCCUGCCUUUUCUUGGCACUGCCUGCCCAUUCCCAGGAUUGCUCACCCUUCCUGUAAGCAGUUUUGCCAGGUGGUUGCCAGUGAUGUUACAGAGAGAAGCAGCCAGGGCGGGAGGGAGCGUGAGCUUUCCAGGGGAACACGUGGCAGCGGGGAUCUGCUGCAGCGUGUUCAUUCCUUCAACUCCCCGCCUUUCUUCAAGAAACAACGUGAAGCUCUUCAAAUCCUUCUGGCAGGAUCAGUUCCUUGGGCUGUUCUAAGGGGGCGAGAAUAUGCCAGGAGUCUCAACUGGAGCACCUCUGAACUGGAUUGGACAAUCUUGAUGACUCAAGUUGCUUAGAGAGAACAGUAAUUAUGUGUGUGUUGCUGGUUUUGCAUAUCUCGAUAAGCCUGUGCCAGACUCAUUCAGAUUUAGUAGCCUCAACAAGGACAAUCUGAGCUCAGGUUACCUAUAAAAAUGAUGUGGGUCCCAACUACCUGAUUUCAGAGGGCAUGCUUGUGUUUCUAAAUAAAAAAAAAAGUCCCCGAGGCCAAGGCUCGGCUUGUAUUCACACUAACUGGAGCUAGUUCCCUCAGGAGCAGACUCCUGUAUUUGGAUCCCACAGUUCUCAUUGGACCCUUCCCGGUGCCCAACAUGUAAUUCUAAUUUUUUGUGUAUCUUUUUCAGUUUGAAGUAUCUGAAAUUAUGUGAAACUGCACUGCAGCCCGUGAGAAUGGUGCUUUCCUAGCAUGAGGGUGUGGAAAGACUAGUUGGCAACGUUUCUCGGUUUUAUUGGCCAUUCCAACCUCCUGUGGUGCCUCUAGGUGAUGAGCAGCUGUGUGAUACAUUGGUUAUCAUUUCUCACCUACAUCAUGACACCGAAUAAAGUGGUACUCCAGGCCAUAAACUUCUACUUCUCCAGGAGCCAUCCAUUGCACCGUUGCUGACCAAACACCCUCUUUGGCUCAUGCAGCUUCCACGCAGCUCCCGCCUUCUGACAUGCAGUGUCCUAACUGCUGUAGUUAAAUACAGUGGAGUUAAAGCUGUAGUUAAAUGCAGUGGGACUAACACUCUGUGUAAGUUGUAUUUAAAUUUUCAAAUAAUUCUGUGCAGAUUACCCAGUAAAUUAUCAUUUAUUGUGUUCAUUUUUCUAGAAGUACGUAGAGGUAACAGUUGGGAUCAUGAGCUCAUUAAGAGGUGCUACAAAGAUACAUAAAAUAAGUAACUACCUUAUUUCUCCUGUGACUACACAGUGAAUGAAACAAAAAAAAGUCAUGCUUGAGGAUUAUCUUUUAGCAUUGGAGGGUUGAUUACAUAAAAGGUGAGAUUAAAAUCCUAUACAUGAUUUAUUCAAAAUUACAAAUUAAAUGUGUGUGAAUGAAUCUCCACAGAAAACAAAGAGUUCCUAUAUAUAGACUACCUCCUAUUGCAGGCUAGCAGAAACAGCAACUAUGUUUUUAUCUUAAGUAUUUUACAUAUAUGCUUUCUUAAAUUAAAAAAAACCCCACAAAACAAAAAACAAAUUGUAAGACUGCUUUCAUUUACUCUG